rnacentral:rRNA from 1 species
AUGCAACGGCCGUCAUCCCCCGCGAGGCCGCGAGGAGGCUCAGACGGGCCGACCCGUCCUGGGCUACGGAUCAGACGCCAGCUAAUCCACCGGAAGAUUCGUUCCCCUCUGCCCCCCUCUCAUUAUCUUCCUCAACCUCGUCGGCAGGAAGCAGAUCGGGAUUCGGGAACGAUGACUACCUCAUCUUCUUCAUCCCAGCCGGACGAGGCUGGGUUGUGUCAGUUUUUGAGAUCCACGGACACCUACCUGCCGGAGCUCACUCGCCACGACUUGUCCCAGCCCCAGCCGUACGUGCUGCACCAGCCUCUAGCCGUGCACCCAUCCGCUUCCCUUCACCAGAGAUACAGGCGCGAUCACAAUUUCGCGGACGGCGGCAGCCGAGCAGAGAUCCAACCAGCUCAUGGACGUCCCCAGCCACAGCUUCAGCCGUAUCUUAAAAAUAUCAGUGUGUAG